rnacentral:rRNA from 1 species
GACGAACGCUGGCGGCGUGCUUAACACAUGCAAGUCGAACGGAAAGGCCCUGCUUUUGUGGGGUGCUCGAGUGGCGAACGGGUGAGUAACACGUGAGUAACCUGCCCUUGACUUUGGGAUAACUUCAGGAAACUGGGGCUAAUACCGGAUAGGAGCUCCUGCUGCAUGGUGGGGGUUGGAAAGUUUCGGCGGUUGGGGAUGGACUCGCGGCUUAUCAGCUUGUUGGUGGGGUAGUGGCUUACCAAGGCUUUGACGGGUAGCCGGCCUGAGAGGGUGACCGGCCACAUUGGGACUGAGAUACGGCCCGGACUCCUACGGGAGGCAGCAGUGGGGAAUAUUGCACAAUGGGCGGAAGCCUGAUGCAGCAACGCCGCGUGCUGGAUGACGGCCUUCGGGUUGUAACCCGCUUUCGCCUGUGACGAAGCGUGAGUGACGGUAAUGGGUAAAGAAGCACCGGCUAACUACGUG